GAUGAACGCUGGCGGCGUGCCUAAUACAUGCAAGUCGAGCGAACAGAUGAGGAGCUUGCUCCUCUGACGUUAGCGGCGGACGGGUGAGUAACACGUGGAUAACCUACCUAUAAGACUGGGAUAACUUCGGGAAACCGGAGCUAAUACCGGAUAAUAUAUUGAACCGCAUGGUUCAAUAGUGAAAGACGGUUUUGCUGUCACUUAUAGAUGGAUCCGCGUCGGAUUAGCUAGUUGGUAAGGUAACGGCUUACCAAGGCAACGAUGCGUAGCCGACCUGAGAGGGUGAUCGGCCGCACUGGAACUGAGACACGGUCCAGACUCCUACGGGAGGCAGCAGUAGGGAAUCUUGCGCAAUGGGCGAAAGCCUGACGGAGCAACGCCGCGUGAGUGAUGAAGGUCUUCGGAUCGUAAAACUCUGUUAUUAGGGAAGAACAAAUGUGUAAGUAACUAUGCACGUCUUGACGGUACCUAAUCAGAAAGCCACGGCUAACUACGUG
rnacentral:rRNA from 1 species